CCUGCAAAAACACCAGGAAUAGACAAUCACCUGCAGCACUCUGGAUAAUGCCACAUGGUUCUCCCUUCUCUAGCUAGCACGAGGACUCCAAUUGCUGCUGACAGGCCUGGCCUAAGAAAAUUGACUACAGCUUUCCAGGAUGACUGAUUGGAGUAUGAUUAGGAAAGAAAACUAUUUGCCUCCAGAAACAA